GGAGCUCGCGAGUCUAACGGUCGUACCGGUCGCUCUCCUCCUGUAUGGGAUAAACGCGGCGGUGUAGGACUUUCUAUGGGCUGUUUUUUCGGUUUAAUCCUCGGCUAAACUUCACCACAGCGCUCUCUCGGUUAUGCAGUAAGGCGGCCUGUGGUCUUUUUCUUUCUUCGCUUCUUCUCCGAGACCGUGUUGGCUCGGCGUUUUCCUCUAAGGACAAAGGUCAGAGAUAGUUGGCUUCUUUUCUUGGCGUUUUCGCGACUCCAGCAGCCCCGCCGCGCCACCGAACGACGAAGCUAAACAGACGAGAUGGAUAACGAAAAGUACUUGCCGGAACUGAUGGCGGAGAAGGACUCGCUCGACCCGUCUUUUCGACACUCCUUGCGGCUGCUCGACCAAGAAAUCGAAAAGGUUCAGAAAGACGAAGAGAAAGAGGACGAGAAGUUUAUUGAUGUCGUCAUAAACAAGAACAUGAAACUGGGUCAAAAAGUGCUGAUUCCUGUCAAACAGUUCCCCAAAUUUAAUUUUGUGGGUAAACUGCUGGGUCCCCGCGGCAACUCGCUAAAGAGGCUACAGGAAGACACACUCACCAAGAUGUCCAUCCUGGGCAAAGGAUCCAUGAGAGAUAAAGAGAAGGAGGAGGAGCUGCGCAAGAGCGGAGAAGCGAAAUAUAAUCACCUCAACGAGGACCUACAUGUGCUCAUAGAGGUUUUUGCCCCGCCUGCCGAGGCCUACGCUCGCAUGGGACACGCCCUGGAAGAGAUUAAGAAGUUCCUCAUUCCGGAUUAUAAUGAUGAGAUCAGACAAGCUCAGCUACAGGAGUUGACAUUUCUGAAUGGAGGAUCGGAGGACGCUAAGGUUCCCGCAGUGAGAGGGAAACCCAACUCCAGGGCUAGAGGCACACCUGCACCCGGCGCACACAGGACCAGAGGAGGUGUUCCUCCUCCCCAGGCUGCAGUUCCCAGAGGAGUGGCACCUAGAGGAGCCCCGCCCAGCCGAGUCCCAUCCAGCAGAGGCAGGGGCGUUCCUGCACAGAGAGCGCGUGGAGCUCCGCCCCCAGGAGGGUAUAGACCGCCUCCACCUGUAGUACAGGACUCAUAUGGAGAAUACGAAUAUGACGACGGAUAUGGAACGGCCUACGAUGACCAAGGGUACGACUCAUACGACAACAGUUACAAUAACCAAGGACAGAAUUCAGACGACUACUAUGAAUAUGGCCAUGGACUAAGUGGGGAAUCCUAUGACUCAUACGGUCAGGAAGAGUGGACAAACGGCCGCAACAAAGCUCCGCCGGCGAGGACGACCAAAGGAGUAUACAGAGAUCAGCCCUACUCCAGAUACUGAACUCUAAAGUCAGGCGCACCUGUCCGUGCUCUCCCAAUGCACUAAAGGGCCCCCACAUGACCUCUAAAUGACGCCAGCUGACCAUUGACCCUCAGUGCUGAGAGGAUGGCAGUGGCCAUAGAUAAAGGCCUUCGCUUGACAAGGAGGCCAGAGACUUGACUGGAGUGGUGAAAUUAUACCCCAGCUCUUCACAGUUCAUCUGGAGGUGUCACUGUCGGGUCUCUGGAAAACAGCAACACACAAAACGAGGAAACCAAGGGGCCAAAUAGAGAAGAGAAAAGGGGACAAAGUCAGUUGGAGAUGCCCCUGCCUGACUUAAUGCUGCAGAUAUAGAGAUGUCACAGAGAUGAGUUAAUGUGGCAUUAAUUUACUAUAUUGACUUUAUUUGCUAAUGUAAGUGAGGGAAGCAGUUGCUGAAAAAUGAUGCACUGAAUUGACUUCAUUGAAAUAUGUUCUAACUUAACACUAUGUGUCCAAAUGUAUCCAGACAUUUCUCCUAAUCCAGUUGUGCACACCUAACACAUAUAAUCUCCAUAGAAAAACACUGAUCAAUAUUAUAGGACAUGAUGGAGCAGCCACACAUCAGCCAAAGGUCACCAUACCCAAUGCCAAGCGUCAGCUAAAGGUGUCUAAAGUUCCCCAGCACUGGGCUGUGGAGUAGUGGAACUGUGUUCUCUGGAGUGAUGGAGCUCCAUCCAGUACCUUUGAGAUGAGUUGGAGAUCCAAAGCUGACCAUCUAGUGUAAAGCCUUCCCAGAAGCGUAGAGGCUGUUACUGCAUCAAAGGAGGAACAAAUUCCCUAUUAAUACCAUUCAUUUCAGACAAAAGCUGGUGUCUACAGACUUUUGGACACAUAGUGUAGUUGGAUAGUUUGGAAGUGUGCAAAAUUCAUGUCAUUCACUUCUAACAGUGAAUAAUCAUAUCCUUCAUCUACUUUUACAAUAAAUAAAGCAUUAA